CAUCCUUUGACAUGGCGUGUUAUGGGGAGAGAUUCCCAGUCCUCUUCGGAGGCGCGCACACAGGUGCUGCAUGGCUGUCGUCAGCUCGUGUCGUGAGAUGUUGGGUUAAGUCCCGCAACGAGCGCAACCCACGUCCUUAGUUGCCAUCAUUCAGUUGGGCACUCUAGGGAGACUGCCGGUGAUAAGCCGCGAGGAAGGUGUGGAUGACGUCAAGUCCUCAUGGCCCUUACGGGAUGGGCUACACACGUGCUACAAUGGCGGUGACAGUGGGACGCGAAGGAGCGAUUUGGAGCAAAUCCCCAAAAGCCGUCUCAGUUCGGAUUGCACUCUGCAACUCGAGUGCAUGAAGGCGGAAUCGCUAGUAAUCGUGGAUCAGCAUGCCGCGGUGAAUA
rnacentral:rRNA from 1 species